rnacentral:rRNA from 1 species
UACGUAGGGUGCAAGCGUUGUCCGGAAUUAUUGGGCGUAAAGAGCUCGUAGGCGGUUUGUCGCGUCUGCUGUGAAAACUCGGGGCUUAACCCCGGGCCUGCAGCCGAUACGGGCAGACUAGAAUUCGGUAGGGGAGACUGGAAUUCCUGGUGUAGCGGUGAAAUGCGCAGAUAUCAGGAGGAACACCGGUGGCGAAGGCGGUUCUCUGGGCAUGUCCUGACGCUGAGGAGCGAAAGUGUGGGGAGCGAACAGG